GCUGGGCGUGGUGGCACACGCCUGUAAUCCCAGCUACUUGGGAGGCUGAGGCAGGAGAAUCACUUGAAUCCGGGAGGUGGAGGUUGCAGUGAACCGAGAUGACACCACUGCACUCCAGCCUGGACAACAGAGUGAGACUCUGUCUCAA
ensembl:misc_RNA Metazoa_SRP Metazoan signal recognition particle RNA